ensembl:lncRNA
AGAAACAACUUCACUGAACAAGGUCAGAGCUGGAAUUUAAAAAUGCCCACACAGGAUGUAUUUGCAGUUAUCUUUCCACUUGCAAUUAGUACCUGGAGUGACUAUGGCUUGAGUUUUACUGCUCUUUCUCUUUUUGUGAAUGAUGGUAGCCAAAGCACCCAUCAGUAUAAGGGUGACUACCAGUGUGGUGGGCAAAGCAACUCUGAAAUUAUGGUCAGUUUAAAGACAGUUUGAAAGUAUAUAACUGAGAUACAUUCAUCAGGUCAAUUAGGCAAAGAAAUAAUUAACAUAUCAGAGAAAGAUGCAAGGGAAAAUUCCUGGUGGGGAGGAAUCUGUAAGGAACCAGAGGGGAUUGUGGUGCAGGGUUCUCCCAUGUUGUGAAUUGCCUUUAUGGAACCACAAUUUUCUCAACAAGGAUCUCCCACAGGGGAUAAAGAAAUCUUCCUUUUGUAAAAUACCUCAAAAUAAUUCAAGCUGUCUGCCAGUAAUUAAAUCCAUUACACUAGCAACAGGUGGUAAAGCUGUAAUUUUUUCACAUCUGUUAUCAUUUUCAUGAGUCAGUAUGUAUUCAUUGCAAGAGCUGGGAAAACCACAGAGCAGAGAGGGCUGGGUUGAUGGCUGUCAUCCAGGCAGCUGCUGUGCUCACUCCUGUAGUUAUCUGAAGAGCAGAGCAGAGGGGAUGUGAGAAUAUUUGGUAGUCAGGAAGGGAUUUGGGCAGGAUUCCAAAGGGUAGGAAGGCAGGGAUCUAAAAGGGAGUGAAAAGAUUUCAUAGGUUCUUUAUAGAGAAGAGCAAAAAAGAAAAAGGGAACCUUGGUUGUGCUUAAAGCAUUACCUUGAUAUACUUUCCCCAACACAGACUUUCUGUGUGGCCUGGAAUAUAUUCCUUGGUUGUUCUGGCUUAGUAAAUUUAAAAACUAAAAUCCCUGGGAAAUUUAACAGUCAGUGAGGACAACAGACAUAGGACAGCUCACAGGUAUGUGAGUGAAUUUACCUCAGUCUUCAAAUCACAAUGCAUUUAUGCAAACUAGCUGCUGGGAAUAGUGUGGCGUGAUGAAGAGGUCUGGGUAUGUUGCAAGAAGAAUUCUAUUGAAGAGCUUACUAAGACUGAAAACUACUUUUAAUGCAAAGAACACAUUGAAUGGCCCCAGCUCUGGGUUGCUCAGUAAUGCAGCAGGUUGCACAUAUUACUGCUAUAUAAGAGUAGGAAAGAAUCCUGCUACUGGGAUGUGCAGUGUCCUCACUACUCUGGAGAGCAGCUGAAGCUUUUUGCUGUACUUCAGGAUUCUUGACUUCCCAAGAGCAUUUUCCACUCCUUUUCCACCUUCCUCCAAACACCACACCUUCGUUAACUCAGAGGGGAAAGGCUCUGUAAUUUCAGCUGUCUUUUCCUUUACUGAAUGCUGGCAAUAAGUGUUUAUGGAGAGAUGAGAGAAGUUCACAAUCAAUUUACAUCCAACAGCAGUGACACAAAGUUUCAGGUUUUGUUUAGGACAUGUUGCCUUUACACCUCUCCUCAAAGACUGGUUUCUUCUCUAGUAGUGCCUUGCAUGGCAGUAUUAAGGAUACUUAUUAUUGCAUUGAGCUACAGUUUUGUAGUGAGUAAAUAAUUGUUCAAUUAAGGAAUCUUUUAAAAGCCAGUUUAGAACAAAAAUAUAUGUAAUUGAGUUAUUGCUGGAGGACUUUCUUUAAUUAUAUCUUGUUCCAUGGCAAUGAAUAGAUUACUGUAAUUCUUUUUAAAGAAUCAUCAUUUAACUCUACUGCAAUUUGAACUAACAAAAUUUUGCAGGUUGUUUAAUGUUAAUAGCUAUCCUUAAGCUGAGGCUACUUGGCUGUGAUCCAUGGCAAGAGGCAGGGUUUAUCCAGCAGAUAUUUGCUUUUCUAGAAGCUCUCCCUUGGGCAGAGCCACAGAUCACUCAACUCCUAACCACAUCCUCAUGGAAUUUUGUUACUGUAUACUCCCAUGUGGACAAAAGACCACAUAUUUUCUUAAUUAAUAAAAUUAGACACAGGAAAUUAAUGACCCUUAAACUGUCUGAACCUCAAAACAAUUAUUGUGGAGUGCAGACCGAGUCAGUCCAGGCAUCCUUCCCACUCUCUUCUUCCUCCCUUUUAUAUCCUUGACUUUGGAACUGGGCCCUUGCUGUCAGUGCAGGCUGGCCCCCAACUCAGCCAUUCUUGCCCAAAGGCAUCCGAGAAGUGCUCAAGGUCCACAGACACCAGAGCAUCACCACAGAUCCUGGUGUGAAUUUCCUUUCCAGCUGUGGGUAACUGACACCUCUGCCAAGGCAGCAGCAGGGCCUCCAAGCAACCUCAUCUCGUUAUUCCAAGGGGAAAAUAAGCAGGAGAAAGGAGGGACUCCCUGAUGACUAGUUCUCCCAUUCUCAAAAAGUGGAUAACUAGCCCUUAUUUUGUGGAAGAGUAUUUGCCCACAGAACACCAAAGUCAUGAUUCAAGUGUGGUUCUUUACUGAAACAAUUAGCUUCUGUUUCAUGUGAUGGCACUGACUGAUACAGGAAGUCUCCAGGUCUGCAAAGGAAUGAACCAAAGCACAUUUAAUCAGUUUUGGGGAAGGGUAGGCUUGUAUGAUGGAUUUAGUCUUCCUGAGAAGUCAUUGAAUGUUGCUCAGUGAUUCACUGACUGCUGGCCAGAGCACUCUGUAAGUGAUUUAUCUGAAUCCUUUUCGAAUCCUUCCCUUUAUUAACAUUUCAGCAGUUCCUUUCUAUGUGAAUUCAUGGUAGUUCUGUGUUUCUCAGGAAGACUGUAGGAAAAUGGUUUCAAAUACGAUGAUUACAUAUUGAGCAGAUGAGCUGCCUCGGGUUUAUGUCACAGCCCAUCUGCCUGUUUGAAACAGGCUUCCUGCACUGUGCCAUUUCCUCUCCAUCGGGCAGGCAGGGAAAAAGACUGCUCAUGCUGCAUCUUCAUUCUGUUUGACCUUUCUAGAGUGUUAUUUCACACACACGCACUAAAGUUUGCAUUCCCUUCUGUAAAUGUAAUUUUAAUCUCAUUCUAUUUUGGCAGCAGAUACCGUUGCAACAAAAUCUGUUCAUUCUUUAUCCCACUAUCUUCAUUGUGGAAGCUGAAAUACAACAUGUCAGCUGGAGAAGGGCAGCCUAAGUAGGAGGGAGUGGAUCCAUGACAGAGAAAAGAACAGAGAAACUACAAAAGAAAGGGUCCUGCCUGCAAUUAGCUCACCCAAAUGUUGACCUAUAAAUAACUGCCAGAAGGAGCUUUCUGACAAAGGAUCUCAAAGCACUGGCCAGCAGUGACACAGAAAGGAGCUGCACUUCACAUGCCCUGGACAGUCAAACCCACUCUGUAUCUGUCCAAUGCAGAUUAGACAGCAAAGGACAAGAGAAAGGGUCUCUGUCCUGAAAGAAAAUGUGAAUGCUCUGAGUAUCCUUCAGCGGGGUGACACAGCAAAGAUUUACAAAGGAUUCCUGCAGCUGUAAUGGAGACAAAUCAGGAGUUUGGAACUGUGAGCAGCAAAGGAAGACCUGGAGGCAGGCACACCUGAGUCUUCAAGCUGUGAGGUACCAGUAAUAAAUGAAACAACUUGUCUAGAUUAUUGCUGGAUAUCAGGAAAACAUCACUCAGAAUGAAUUAUUUCAAUGUAGAAUCCAGGAAAGAUUAUUUUUUAAAACGACAGGGUUUUUAGCUAAUGUUGCCCAUUAAAAUUUCCGGCGUUGGUAGUAAUUAAUUGGUAUGUCAUUGCUACUAAUAACAGCAUGUGGCAGCAAUUUUCACUGUGGUACAUAUAUUUUUCAGAGAGAAAAAGAAGCGAGAUGAUCCAGCAGAGCAGUGCAGUCACGUCCCCAGCAAACACCACUGCCUCAAGAUCAUCUGCCUUGGUGGAGUAUAAGGGACCAUCAUUCAAGAGUGAGACACUGGCUAAGCAAAACAUUUCAAUCUUGUAAGAGCAAAGCAAACUUUUCAAGCUAAUAUUUGAAAUGACUUUACAGAUAAGGAAGAAGAGGCAACAAGAACAUACUUGCAUUUAUUUGAUAUAUAUUUGCCAAAUUAAUGAUUUAUCUUCAUGUUUCUUUAAAAAGAGCAGUUAUUACCACAUCCCAUUUUCACAUUCAAAAAAAAGUGAAGCAUAGAAACUUCCCUUUGGGGCACUGAAAUGAUCCAUUAAUACCUACAAGACUGUUUUCCUCAUUUUCUGGAAAAUUAUUUAUAAUACUUAUCAGUUUUUCUCAAAAGAAAAUUCCUUAGCCAUUCACUGAGAAAUUAUCACACCAAGGAGAGUCAUUUUGCAAGCAAACCUCCCCCCUCAGCCACUGAAGCAGCUAAAACCUGCACUCCUUUUCAGCAGCCCAGCUCACUCAUUCCUCCCAGCUGAGGAAAGCUGUGUGCACUGGACUAAGGAGUUCCAUGUAUUUUUCAGUGUGAGCAUUUAUUUUCUGGUCUGUGCAGUUCUAACCUGUCUGCUUUCACGAACAUUAUGGGACUCUGACAAUUUCUAAUGAUGACAAAGUAAUUCAGCACUGUCUGUGUUUAUUCCUUCAGGAAUACACUGCUUUAGCAGAAGCACAUUUGCAAUGUGCAUGACCCCUGCUCUCCUUCAUAAAUCUUUCUGACAAAACAAAGAGACGGGGUAGCAUUUGGAAUAGGAGCUGUAUUAACUGCUACAUCUUCCUGCUUUAGGAAGUGGUAAAAAAAUUCUCAGAUGUAUUUAAUUCAGUAUAAAAGACAUUACUUCUAUUUUUAAAAAAUAGAAGUAUUAUUUAAUACAGUCCAAAAGGCAUUAUUUCAUAAAGCUACCAAGCAAAUCAGAAAAGCUCAAGAGAGCCAGAUCAUUCAGGAGGAGAAAGCUAAAGGCAGAGCUGAUUUCAGAUAGAACUGUGGGUCUGAGGAGGUCUCAGAAGGAACACAAUCACUGGUACAAAACAGGUACUUCCAGAAAUAUUGACUCAGGUCCAUGGGGACACUGUGUUUGCAACAGGAGGGGAAGAAAAGUUUCCUUACCAUUAUAUGUCUGUCUUUCAGAACUUCUGGGGUGGGUAUUUCAUUACUGAGUGAAAUGAAAUGAAAUGUAGAAUAGCCCCAGGACAGUUCUGCCCCUCCAUGGUCCUUUUAGACUUUAUGAGCAGCCAAGAACAACUUAGGGACUGAAUAAUAACCAGUAUUAACAGCAAAAUAAAGUCGGAUAAUGUAGGUAAAAACCUUAUACUAGUGAGUAGUACAUGCUACGAAAUAAUGAUUUUUAAUAAUUGCCACCUGCCAUGAAGAUCCAGUCUGGGUCAACUUUUACACACUCCUCUGCCACAGGAGGACAGGAAUACAGCUGCUGCCAAGAAUGCUGAAGGCAGCUUCUCUGAUCUCCUGCACAGAACUUCAGCACCAUUCCCUUAAGGUUUCUGGCAGCAUUCUAAAAAAUUUCCUUAGUAUCUUCCUAUUAAAACCAGAAGGGCUGAAAAGAAAAUGUAAUCUUUUUCUUAUUUCUGUAUUUCCGAAUUUUGUGAGCAUAUCUUUCCAGUGUUCCUUGUGGAGCAUGGGCUGGAAGUUCUCUCAUCUGUUUAUUCAUCUGAGCAGAAGCAGCAUUCAUUCUUGGGGCAUGAACCCAGCUUCCUGCACUAAAGCAAUACAAUUGCUUUUCUCUGCAUCACAGAGAGAUUAAUAUUUAUUCAAAUUCAUACUUAUUUAUUAAUUUGUCUGGU